rnacentral:pre_miRNA from 1 species
GCUGGAGCUUUGGAGUGUGACAAUGGUGUUUGUAUUCAAGCUGUCAAACGCCAUUAUCACACUAAAUAGCUACUG